AAUAGAUACCCUGGUAGUCCACGCCGUAAACGAUGAGUGCUAAGUGUUGGAGGGUUUCCGCCCUUCAGUGCUGCAGCUAACGCAUUAAGCACUCCGCCUGGGGAGUACGGUCGCAAGACUGAAACUCAAAGGAAUUGACGGGGGCCCGCACAAGCGGUGGAGCAUGUGGUUUAAUUCGAAGCAACGCGAAGAACCUUACCAGGUCUUGACAUCUCCUGACCGCCCUGGAGACAGGGUCUUCCCUUCGGGGACAGGAUGACAGGUGGUGCAUGGUUGUCGUCAGCUCGUGUCGUGAGAUGUUGGGUUAAGUCCCGCAACGAGCGCAACCCUUGAUUCUAGUUGCCAGCAUUCAGUUGGGCACUCUAGAGUGACUGCCGGCGAUAAGUCGGAGGAAGGUGGGGAUGACGUCAAAUCAUCAUGCCCCUUAUGACCUGGGCUACACACGUGCUACAAUGGAUGGUACAAAGGGCUGCGAAACCGCGAGGUUGAGCUAACUCCAAAAAACCAUUCUCAGUUCGGAUU
rnacentral:rRNA from 1 species